AAGACUAUACUUUCAGGGAUCAUUUCUAUAGUUCGUUACUAGAGAAGUUUCUCUGACGUGUAGAGCACCCGAACCCACGAGGAAGAGAUAGAGCGUUCUCUCCUGAGCGUGAAGUUGGCUCUUGGUGUUGUGUUUGCAGCUGCCUUUAGCCGUUGAUGAUCGUUCUUCUCUUCAUUUUGAAGAGUAAGAGGGAGAUGGACGCAGUCUGAGUGGUU
ensembl:snoRNA small nucleolar RNA U3